rnacentral:rRNA from 1 species
UUAAACUGAAGAGUUUGAUCAUGGCUCAGAUUGAACGCUGGCGGCAGGCUUAACACAUGCAAGUCGAGCGGUAACAUUUCUAGCU